AGCAUCCAUUUGAAUAAUUUCAGAUUAAUCAAGCCUAUGAUUUGCAAUGGCCUAGGCUCCAACCAUUAAUCUCAUGUUGAUUACCUGUAGCAAAUAAAAAGAAAACCCAAAUUAAUACGACUGGGAGGGGGACCGCUCCACCGCCCAUCACCACUUCGGAGGAGCUGGCUCUCGCCAAUAACGAAGGUCGGCCGAUGAUGGUAGGAGUGGAAGGGGGGAUGUCCUCUGACCCCACUGCCUCGACAUCCAAGGCGUUUGUAAUGAUUGAAGGUACAAACAUUAUUUUGGAGGAGCUGCCGACAAUCAAUCUCCAAUCAGAGGAGACUCUGUCGGCCUGUGACUCCAGGGCGACUAUGGAGGUGAUUUUUCCUAACAAUUCUCACAGCUAUAAUAUGAAUUUGUAGAAUAAAAAAUGCCUAGGCCUAAUUGUGUCAUUGACAUAGCGGUUAUGUAAGGGAUAAUGGACAACACGGCACUUGACUAUCCAAGGUUAAUGUACGUUGAACGUGGGGCCACCUUUGAACUUGAAACGUAGACACACUGCGCAACAGUAAGUGCAUGGCUUCUUUGUGUAGCAUUGCCUACAUAUGGUCCAACAAGCACGAUCAAAUAACGUAUACCCUCUGAUGAGAAUCUGUAUCUCUCAUAAAGAAUAUCGUCAGACAAUGCCAAGGGAUCGGUUCUGUCCCGAAAAACCCUCUGUCUCCGCAGAGACGCCUGUACGCUAAGUGCGCCAAGGUCCAUGGGAACACCCACAAAUGGUGACGCCAUUGUCUGAGGAGGGUCUAGGAAGCUGCGCACGCCGAUUUAAGUAGCCGAUCUCCAGGUAGACUAAGCUGAGAAGCUGCUCCCGACCAGGUUUGGUUGCGACCAUAAGUCACCAUGGUGAUACAGCGACGCUUAAAGAGAUCAACUUUCGUGGUAC